GGUAGCUCGUCGGGCUCAUAACCCGAAGGUCGGUGGUUCAAAUCCGCCUCCCGCA
rnacentral:tRNA from 1 species